rfam:Rattus norvegicus chromosome 1, whole genome shotgun sequence.
ACCAGGAUGGCCGAGUGGUUAAGGCGUUGGACUUAAGAUCCAAUGGACAUAUGUCUGCGUGGGUUCGAACCCCACUCCUGGUA